GGGGCUGAUUCUGGAUUCGACGGGAUUUGCGAAACCCAAGGUGCAUGCCGAGGGGCGGUUGGCCUCGUAAAAAGCCGCAAAAAAUAGUCGCAAACGACGAAAACUACGCUUUAGCAGCUUAAUAACCUGCUUAGAGCCCUCUCUCCCUAGCCUCCGCUCUUAGGACGGGGAUCAAGAGAGGUCAAACCCAAAAGAGAUCGCGUGGAAGCCCUGCCUGGGGUUGAAGCGUUAAAACUUAAUCAGGCUAGUUUGUUAGUGGCGUGUCCGUCCGCAGCUGGCAAGCGAAUGUAAAGACUGACUAAGCAUGUAGUACCGAGGAUGUAGGAAUUUCGGACGCGGGUUCAACUCCCGCCAGCCCACCAA
rnacentral:tmRNA from 1 species